rnacentral:rRNA from 1 species
CGGGGUGAGUAAUGCUUGGGAAUCUAGCUUAUGGAGGGGGAUAACUACGGGAAACUGUAGCUAAUACCGCGUAGUAUCGGAAGAUGAAAGUGUGGGACCUUCGGGCCACAUGCCAUAGGAUGAGCCCAAGUGGGAUUGGGUAGUUGGUGAGGUAAAGGCUCACCAAGCCGACGAUCUCUAGCUGGUCUGAGAGGAUGACCAGCCACACUGGGACUGAGACACGGCCCAG